rnacentral:rRNA from 1 species
GAGACAGCAGUCGCCGCGGUAAUACAGAGGGUGCGAGCGUUAUCCGGAAUCAUUGGGUUUAAAGGGUCCGUAGGCGGUCUUGUAAGUCAGUGGUGAAAGCCCAUCGCUCAACGGUGGAACGGCCAUUGAUACUGCAGGACUUGAAUUAUUGGGAAGUAACUAGAAUAUGUAGUGUAGCGGUGAAAUGCUUAGAGAUUACAUGGAAUACCAAUUGCGAAGGCAGUUUACUACCAAUUGAUUGACGCUGAUGGACGAAAGCGUGGGUAGCGAACAGGAUUAGAGACCCCAGUAGUCCCUGUCUCUUAUAC